rnacentral:snRNA from 1 species
GCACCCCCACUUACCCAGUCCACACCUGGAAUGAUACAGAGAAGAUUAGCAUGGCCCCUGCAUAAGGAUGACAUGCAAAUUCGUGAAGUGUUCUAGGAAUGC